rnacentral:snoRNA from 1 species
UUCCAACUACAGAUGCAAGCAAAAAAGAUCCCUGUGCUUUCUGUCUAUCUGAUUGUGGCAGCCAAGAUUGAAUGAGGGGAUACAAGA